GGACUGCUUCAUGACUCCUGAUGG
rnacentral:piRNA from 1 species